rnacentral:rRNA from 1 species
UAACACGUAGGGCGCGAGCGUUGUCCGGAAUUAUUGGGCGUAAAGGGCUCGUAGGCGGUUUGUUGCGUCGAAAGUGAAAAUCCGGGGCUUAACUCCGGACUUGCUUUCGAUACGGGCAGACUAGAGGUAGGCAGGGGAGAGUGGAAUUCCUGGUGUAGCGGUGGAAUGCGCAGAUAUCAGGAGGAACACCGGUGGCGAAGGCGGCUCUCUGGGCCUUACCUGACGCUGAGGAGCGAAAGCGUGGGGAGCGAACAGGAUUAGAUACCCUGGUAGUCCACGCCGUAAACGUUGGGCGCUAGGUGUGGGGGACUUCCACGUCCUCCGUGCCGCAGCUAACGCAUUAAGCGCCCCGCCUGGGGAGUACGGCCGCAAGGCUA